UAGGGAAUCUUCGGCAAUGGACGAACGUCUGACCGAGCAACGCCGCGUGAGUGAAGAAGGUUUUCGGAUCGUAAAACUCUGUUGUUAGAGAAGAACAAGGACGUUAGUAACUGAACGUCCCCUGACGGUAUCUAACCAGAAAGCCACGGCUAACUACGUGCCAGCAGCCGCGGUAAUACGUAGGUGGCAAGCGUUGUCCGGAUUUAUUGGGCGUAAAGCGAGCGCAGGCGGUUUCUUAAGUCUGAUGUGAAAGCCCCCGGCUCAACCGGGGAGGGUCAUUGGAAACUGGGAGACUUGAGUGCAGAAGAGGAGAGUGGAAUUCCAUGUGUAGCGGUGAAAUGCGUAGAUAUAUGGAGGAACACCAGUGGCGAAGGCGGCUCUCUGGUCUGUAACUGACGCUGGGGCUCGAAAGCGUGGGGAGCAAACAGG
rnacentral:rRNA from 1 species